GUUAAGUUACAAAGGGCGCACGGUGGAUGCCUUGGCACUAGGAGCCGAUGAAGGACGGAACUAAUACCGAUAUGCCUCGGGGAGCUAUAAGUAAGCUUUGAUCCGGAGAUUUCCGAAUGGGGAAACCCAGUACACAUCAGUGUAUUGCUUGUCAGUGAAUACAUAGCUGGCCGGCGGCAGACGCGGGGAACUGAAACAUCUAAGUACCCG
rnacentral:rRNA from 1 species